AUUGAACGCUGGCGGCAGGCUUAACACAUGCAAGUCGAGCGAGCGGCGGACGGGUGAGUAAUGUCUGGGAAACUGCCCGAUGGAGGGGGAUAACUACUGGAAACGGUAGCUAAUACCGCAUACCAUCGGAUGUGCCCAGAUGGGAUUAGCUAGUAGGUGGGGUAAAGGCUCACGUAGGCGACGAUCCCUAGCUGGUCUGAGAGGAUGACCAGCUACACUAGAUCUGAAACCCGUUCCAGUCGCUCACGGGAGGCAGCAGUGGCGAAUAUUGCACAAUGGGCGCAAGCCUUCUGCAGCCAUGCCGCGUGCAUGAAGAAGUCCUUCGGUUUGUAAAGUACUUUCAUCGUCAAGGCGUUACCCUCAGAAGAAGCACCGGCUAACUCCGUGCCAGAAGCCGCGGCAAUUG
rnacentral:rRNA from 1 species